rnacentral:rRNA from 1 species
CCUACGGGAGGCAGCAGUGGGGAAUAUUGCGCAAUGGGCGAAAGCCUGACGCAGCGACGCCGCGUGAGGGAUGAAGGUCUUCGGAUCGUACACCUCUGUCAGCAGGGAAGAACGGUCACUGUGCUAAUCAGCAGUGAAUUGACGGUACCUGCAAAGGAAGCACCGGCUAACUCCGUGCCAGCAGCCGCGGUAAUACGGAGGGUGCGAGCGUUAAUCGGAAUGACUGGGCGUAAAGCGCUCGUAGGCGGUAUGUCAAGUCAAGGGUGAAAUCCCCGCGCUCAACGUGGGAACUGCCUUUGAAACUGGCAAACUGGAGUGUGUGAGAGGAAAGUGGAAGUCGAGGUGUAGGAGUGAAAUCCGUAGAUAUCUGGAGGAACAUCAGUGGCGAAGGCGACUAUCUGGCACAUAACUGACGCUGAGGAGCGAAAGCGUGGGUAGCAAACAGGAUUAGAUACCCCGGUAGUC